rnacentral:rRNA from 1 species
AUACGGAGGGUGCAAGCGUUAUCCGGAAUCAUUGGGUUUAAAGGGUCCGCAGGCGGAUUAAUAAGUCAGUGUUGAAAUCCUCUCGCUCAACGAGAGAACUGCCAUUGAAACUGUUAGUCUUGAAUUCGGUCGAAGUAGGCGGAAUGUGUCAUGUAGCGGUGAAAUGCAUAGAUAUGACACAGAACACCGAUAGCGAAGGCAGCUUACUAGACCUGGAUUGACGCUCAUGGACGAAAGCGUGGGGAGCGAACAGGAUUAGAAACCCUAGUAGUCC